AGCAGCCGCGGUAAUUCCAGCUCCAAUAGCGUAUAUUAAAGUUGUUGCAGUUAAAAAGCUCGUAGUUGAAUUUCGAGACCGGUCUACUGGUCGUGCUUUUGUACGUACUGGUUUUAUUGGUUUCUCCUUUCUGACGAACUAUAAUGCCAUUAAUUUGGUGUUAUGGGGAAUCAGGACUGUUACUUUGAAAAAAUUAGAGUGUUUAAAGCAGGCUCACGCUUGAAUACAUUAGCAUGGAAUAACGGAAUAGGACGUUUGAUUCUAUUUUGUUGGUUCCUAGGAUCGACGUAAUGAUUAAUAGGGAUAGUUGGGGGCAUUAGUAUUCAAUUGUCAGAGGUGAAAUUCUUGGAUUUAUUGAAGACUAACUACUGCGAAAGCAUUUGCCAAGGAUGUUUUCAUUAAUCAAGAACGAAAGUUAGGGGAUCGAAGACGAUCAGAUACCGUCGUAGU
rnacentral:rRNA from 1 species